rnacentral:tRNA from 1 species
GACCACGUAGCUCAGUGGGUAGAGCAUUGGAGUAGUAUCCCAAAGUUCGUGGGUUCGAUUCCCACCGUGGUCA